rnacentral:rRNA from 1 species
CUUGGUUGAUCUUGAUAGUAGUCAUAUGCUUGUCUCAAAGAUUAAGCCAUGCAUGUCUAAGUAUGAACUAAUUUAAGCUGUGUAACUAUGAAUGGCUCAAUAAAUCAAUUAUAGUUUGUUUAAUGGAUCUACUACUUAAAUAACUAUAAUAAUUCUAGAGCUAAUAUAUGCAACAAACCCUAACUUUUAGAGGGAUGUAUUUAUUAGAUAAAAGGUCGAUGAGGGCUUUGCCCAUUGCUCUGAUGAUCAUGAUAACUCAACAAAUCGCAUGGCCUUUGUGCUAGCGAUGAAUCAUUCAAAUUUUUGCCCUAUCAACUUUUGAUGGUAGGAUAAUAGCCUACUAUGGUGGUGAUAGUGAUGGAAAAUUAGGGUUCGAUUCUAUAAAAGGAGCUUAAGAAAUACCUACCAUAUCCGAGGAAGGUAGUAGGUGCACAAAUUACCUAAUCCUAACAUGGGGAGGUAGUGACAAUAAAUAACAAUACUAGGCUCUAUGAGUCUUGUAAUUGAAAUGAGUACAAUCUAAAUCCUUUAACAAGGAUCCAUAUGAGGGUAAGUCUUAUGCCAACAAGCAUAGUAAUUCUAGCUCCAAUAGCAUAUAUUUAAGUUGUUGCAGGAAAAAAGUUCAUAGUUGGAACUAAGGUUGGGUCAUCGGUCCAUCUCAUGUUGAACAUCAAUCUACUUGUCCCUACUGCAAAUGAUGCUUUCAUGGCCUUAACUGGCCAAGUCAUUCCUCUAGCUUUGUUACUUUGAAGAAAUUAGAGUGCUUAAAGUAAGCCUACACUUUUAUACAUUAGCAUGGGAUAACAUUAUAGCAUUUAGGUCCUAUUAUGUUGGCCUUCGAGAUUAGAGUAAUGAUUAACAUGGACAACUGAGGGCAUUCAUUUUUCAUAGUUAGAGGUGGAAUUAUUUGAUUUAUGAAAGAUGAACAACUAUGAAAGCAUUUGCCAAGGAUGUUUUCAUUAAUUAAGAACGAAUGUUAGGGGCUUGAAGAUGAUCAGAUGCCACUCUAGUCUCUACCAUAAAUGAUGCUGACCAGGGAUCGAAGGAUGUUAUUUUUAGGACUCCACUAGCACGUUAUAAGAAAUCAAAGUCUUUGGGUUUUGAGGGUAUAGUCCCAAGGUUGAAACUUAAAGGAAUUAACUAAAAGGCACCACCAACAGUGGAGCAUGUAGCUUAAUUUAACUCAACAUAAGGAAACUUACUAGGUCCAGACAUAAUAAGUAUUAACUAAUUGAGAGCUCUUUCUUGAAUCUAUGGGUCGUGGUGCAUGGCCAUUCUUAGUUGGUGGAGUGAUUUGUCUAGUUAAUUCUGUUAAUGAAUAAGACCUCAGCCUACUAACUAGCUAUGCAAAGGUGAUCCUUCAUGGCUAGCUUCUUAGAGGGACUAUGGCCAUUUAGGCCAAAAAAGUUUGAGGCAAUAACAAGUCUGUUAUGCCCUUAGAUGUUCUAGGCCGCAAGUAUGCUACACUAAUGUAUUCAACUAGUCUAUGGCCUUAGCAGACAGGCUUAGGUAAUCUUUAAAAUUUUAUCAUGAUGGGGAUAGAUCAUUACAAUUAUUGAUCUUCAACGAGGAAUUCCAAGCAAGUGUGAGUCAUUAGCUUGUGUUGACUAAGUCCUUGCCCUUUGUACACAUUGCUUGUCACUUCUACUGAUUGAAUGGUCUGAUAAAGUGUUUGGAUCAUAAUGAUGUGGAUAAUUUACUGCUUGCAACAUCAUAAAAAGUUCACUAAACCUUAUCAUUUAGAGGAAGGAAAAGUCGUAAUAAGGUUUCUAUAAGUGACCCUAAAGAAG